rnacentral:rRNA from 1 species
GAUGAACGCUAGCGGCAGGCCUAAUACAUGCAAGUCGGACGGGAUUUGGGAGCUUGCUCCUAAUGAGAGUGGCGCACGGGUGCGUAACACGUAUGUAACCUACCUUAAUCAGGGGGAUAGCCUCUCGAAAGAGAGAUUAACACCGCAUAACAUAUUUUUAUGGCAUCGUAGAAAUAUCAAAUAUUUAUAGGAUUAAGAUGGGCAUUCGGGACAUUAGCUAGUUGGUAAGGUAACGGCUUACCAAGGCUACGAUGUUUAGGGGAUCUGAGAGGAUGACCCCCCAAACGGGUACUGAGACACGGACCAGACUCCUAAGGGAGGCAGCAGUAAGGAAUAUUGGUCAAUGGGCGCAAGCCUGAACCAGCCAUGCCGCGUGCAGGAAGACGGCCCUAUGGGUUGUAAACUGCUUUUGUACCGGAAUAAACCCUUUUACGUGUAAAAGGCUGAAUGUACGGUAAGAAUAAGGAUCGGCUAACUCCGUGCCAGCCGCCGCGGUAA